CGCAUAGGUGGUUUGUUAAGUUGGAUGUGAAAGCCCCGGGCUCAACCUGGGAACUGCAUCCAAAACUGGCAAGCUAGAGUACGGUAGAGGGUGGUGGAAUUUCCUGUGUAGCGGUGAAAUGCGUAGAUAUAGGAAGGAACACCAGUGGCGAAGGCGACCACCUGGACUGAUACUGACACUGAGGUGCGAAAGCGUGGGGAGCAAACA
rnacentral:rRNA from 1 species